UACGUAGGUGGCAAGCGUUGUCCGGAUUUACUGGGCGUAAAGGGAGCGUAGGCGGAUUUUUAAGUGGGAUGUGAAAUACUCGGGCUCAACCCGAGUGCUGCAUUCCAAACUGGAAAUCUAGAGUGCAGGAGGGGAAAGUGGAAUUCCUAGUGUAGCGGUGAAAUGCGUAGAUAUUAGGAAGAACACCGGUGGCGAAGGCGACUUUCUGGACUGUAACUGACGCUGAGGCUCGAAAGCGUGGGGAGCGAACAGG
rnacentral:rRNA from 1 species